rfam:Hordeum vulgare subsp. vulgare, WGS project CAJW01000000 data, contig: morex_contig_1561286
AUAUUACUACCUCUGUUCCAAAAUUCUUGUCUAAGAUUUGUAUAGAUGUGAAUCUAUCCAAACACUAAAACAUGACUAGAUACAUCCAUAUUUAGACAAAUCUAAGACAAGAUUUUUGGGACGAAGGGAGUACGUU